UACGUAGGGCGCAAGCGUUAUCCGGAAUUAUUGGGCGUAAAGAGCUCGUAGGCGGUUUGUCGCGUCUGCCGUGAAAGUCCGGGGCUCAACUCCGGAUCUGCGGUGGGUACGGGCAGACUAGAGUGUGGUAGGGGGAGACUGGAAUUCCUGGUGUAGCGGUGGAAUGCGCAGAUAUCAGGAGGAACACCAAUGGCGAAGGCAGAUCUCUGGGCCGUAACUGACGCUGAGGAGCGAAAGCAUGGGGAGCGAACAGG
rnacentral:rRNA from 1 species